rfam:Chlamydotis undulata macqueenii contig85582, whole genome shotgun sequence.
AUAAAGGAUUUUUUAAAAUCCCUCAAUCAGAAAAUAUAAAAGCACG